GAUGAACGCUAGCGGCAGGCCUAAUACAUGCAAGUCGAGGGGGCAGCAAUGUCACCGGCGGACGGGUGCGUAACACGUUUGGAAUCUGCCUUGUACAGGGGGAUAGCCCGCCGAAAGGCGGAUUAAUACCGCAUAUGCUCGUGGUCUGGCAUCAGGCAGCGAGGAAAGGAGCAAUCCGGUACGAGAUGACCAUGCGGCUGAUUAGCUAGUUGGCGGGGAGUGGCCCACCAAGGCGACGAUCAGUAGGGGACCUGAGAGGGCGAU
rnacentral:rRNA from 1 species